rnacentral:lncRNA from 1 species
CAAUGGAUCUUGGAUUCUGGCUGCUGGCAUUUUUUUUGAGAAUUUGAACUCUCUUUUCCCUUGGAUUUUCUUGAAAAUCCAAUUCUUUUUCUCUAUUUUUCAGCCACCCUAUCGUUGGACACCAAUUGCCAUAUGAAGGUCUUCUAUAACCAAUCCUCCAGCCAUAGCCACCGUUGUCGGUGGAGCCUCCCUUUGUUUCGGGGAAAGAAGAGGAGGAAUCCCCUAUUUUGCUAAAAAAUCAUGGGAAGAAGAAGAAGAGAGAAAAGAAAAAGAGGAAGAA